AUACGGAGGGUGCAAGCGUUACUCGGAAUCACUGGGCGUAAAGCGCGCGCAGGCGGGCUGAUAAGUUGGAUGUGAAAGCCUACGGCUCAACCGUAGAACUGCAUCCAAAACUAUUAGACUAGAGUGUGAGAGAGGAAGAUGGAAUUAGUUGUGUAGGGGUAAAAGCCGUAGAGAUAACUAGGAAUACCAAAAGCGAAGGCAAUCUUCUGGAACACUACUGACGCUGAGGCGCGAAAGCGUGGGGAGCAAACAGAAUUAGAAACCCUAGUAGUCC
rnacentral:rRNA from 1 species